rnacentral:misc_RNA from 1 species
AAAGUGCGAUAAGCGUCACGACUUGCAGAUUCCAGAGAGCUGACAAGUUUCUGAAUGCAAAUAGCAACCGAUUCACCUCGGUUAUGUACUGCAGAGCGUAGUUGCAAUGGCAAAUCAUCGAAAGCUUGUCUUCGGAUUUGUCAAUAACAAUUUUGUGAGAGAAGUUGCUUUCACAUAAUUUGUUAAUGAUGAAAUAACCACGCAAAUCUUUGCGGUUGGAUUCUUUGAGUCCUUCACGCAUUUUGCGGCUCUUAUUAACCGCCACCUCUGCAGUGCAGGAUAACCCGCUGAACUUAA